GGGGCUUAUCAUGCAGUCGAGCGGAGAGAGAAGCUUGCUUCUCUUGAGAGCGGCGGACGGGUGAGUAAUGCCUAGGAAUCUGCCUGGUAGUGGGGGAUAACGUUCGGAAACGGACGCUAAUACCGCAUACGUCCUACGGGAGAAAGCAGGGGACCUUCGGGCCUUGCGCUAUCAGAUGAGCCUAGGUCGGAUUAGCUAGUUGGUGAGGUAAUGGCUCACCAAGGCGACGAUCCGUAACUGGUCUGAGAGGAUGAUCAGUCACACUGGAACUGAGACACGGUCCAGACUCCUACGGGAGGCAGCAGUGGGGAAUAUUGGACAAUGGGCGAAAGCCUGAUCCAGCCAUGCCGCGUGUGUGAAGAAGGUCUUCGGAUUGUAAAGCACUUUAAGUUGGGAGGAAGGGUUGUAGAUUAAUACUCUGCAAUUUUGACGUUACCGACAGAAUAAGCACCGGCUAACUCUGUGCCAGCAGCCGCGGUAAUACAGAGGGUGCAAGCGUUAAUCGGAAUUACUGGGCGUAAAGCGCGCGUAGGUGGUUUGUUAAGUUGGAUGUGAAAUCCCCGGGCUCAACCUGGGAACUGCAUUCAAAACUGACUGACUAGAGUAUGGUAGAGGGUGGUGGAAUUUCCUGUGUAGCGGUGAAAUGCGUAGAUAUAGGAAGGAACACCAGUGGCGAAGGCGACCACCUGGACUAAUACUGACACUGAGGUGCGAAAGCGUGGGGAGCAAACAGGAUUAGAUACCCUGGUAGUCCACGCCGUAAACGAUGUCAACUAGCCGUUGGAAGCCUUGAGCUUUUAGUGGCGCAGCUAACGCAUUAAGUUGACCGCCUGGGGAGUACGGCCGCAAGGUUAAAACUCAAAUGAAUUGACGGGGGCCCGCACAAGCGGUGGAGCAUGUGGUUUAAUUUGAAGCAACGCGAAGAACCUUACCAGGCCUUGACAUCCAAUGAACUUUCUAGAGAUAGAUUGGUGCCUUUGGGAACAUUGAGACAGGUGCUGCAUGGCUGUCGUCAGCUCGUGUUGUGAGAUGUUGGGUUAAGUCCCGUAACGAGCGCAACCCUUGUCCUUAGUUACCAGCACGUAAUGGUGGGCACUCUAAGGAGACUGCCGGUGACAAACCGGAGGAAGGUGGGGAUGACGUCAAGUCAUCAUGGCCCUUACGGCCUGGGCUACACACGUGCUACAAUGGUCGGUACAGAGGGUUGCCAAGCCGCGAGGUGGAGCUAUUCCCCUAAAACCGAUUGUAGUCCGGAUCCCAUUUUGCAAUUGGAUUGCGGGAAGUGGGAAUCGUUAGUAAUCGGGAAUCACAAUGUCGCGGUGAAUACGUUCCCGGCCCUUGUCCCCCCCGCCGGUCCCACCAGGGGAGUGGGAUCCACCAGAAGUAGGCUAGUCUACCCUUAGGGAGCCAGCCUCCCAA
rnacentral:rRNA from 1 species